rnacentral:rRNA from 1 species
GAUGAACGCUGGCGGCGUGCCUAAUACAUGCAAGUCGAGCGAACAGACGAGGAGCUUGCUCCUCUGACGUUAGCGGCGGACGGGUGAGUAACACGUGGAUAACCUACCUAUAAGACUGGGAUAACUUCGGGAAACCGGAGCUAAUACCGGAUAAUAUAUUGAACCGCAUGGUUCACUAGUGAAAGACGGUUUUGCUGUGCCUUAUAGAUGGAUCCGCGCCGCAUUAGCUAGUUGGUAAGGUAACGGCUUACCAAGGCGACGAUGCGUAGCCGACCUGAGAGGGUGAUCGGCCACACUGGGACUGAGACACGGUCCAGACUCCUACGGGAGGCAGCAGUAGGGAAUCUUCCGCAAUGGGCGAAAGCCUGACGGAGCAACGCCGCGUGAGUGAUGAAGGUCUUCGGAUCGUAAAACUCUGUUAUUAGGGAAGAACAAAUGUGUAAGUAACUAUGCACGUCUUGACGGUACCUAAUCAGAAAGCCACGGCUAACUACGUG